rnacentral:rRNA from 1 species
CACUUUCAGUAGGGAGGAAGGUAGUGUAGUUAACACCUGCACAUUUGACGUUACCUACAGAAGAAGCACCGGCUAACUCCGUGCCAGCAGCCGCGGUAAUACGGAGGGUGCGAGCGUUAAUCGGAAUUACUGGGCGUAAAGACGCAUGCAGGCGGCCGUGUUAAGUCAGAUGUGAAAGACCCGGGGCGUUAACCUCGGAAUUGCAUUUGUAAACUAGGCAGGCUAGAGUCUUGUAGAGGGGGGUAGGAAGUUUCAGGUGUAGCGGUGAAAUGCGUAGAGAUCUGAAGGAAUACCAGUGGCGAAGGCGGCCCCCUGGACAAAGACUGACGCUCAGAUGCGAAAGCGUGGGGAGCAAACAGGAUUAGAUACCCUGGUAG